UGUUCUGUGGCUUAGUUGGUUAAAGCGCUGGUCUAGCGAAUACGGAGUCGUGGAUCGAAUCCCACCAGAACGC
rnacentral:tRNA from 1 species